rnacentral:rRNA from 1 species
CGUGCAGGCGGUUCGAUAAGUUCGGCGUGAAAUCAUUCGGCUUAACCGGGUGAUGUCGUCGGAGACUGUCGAACUAGAGGGCAAUAGAGGCGUGUGGAAUUCCGGGUGUAGUGGUGAAAUGCGUAGAGAUCCGGAGGAACACCAGUGGCGAAGGCGACACGCUGGGUUGCACCUGACGCUAAAACGCGACAGCAUGGGGAGCGAACG